UACGGGGGGAGCAAGCGUUGUUCGGAUUUACUGGGCGUAAAGGGCGCGUAGGCGGUCAGCACAAGUCAGUUGUGAAAUCUCCGGGCUUAACUCGGAAAGGUCAACUGAUACUGUGCGACUAGAAUGCAGAAGGGGCAACUGGAAUUCUCGGUGUAGCGGUGAAAUGCGUAGAUAUCGAGAGGAACACCUGCGGCGAAGGCGGGUUGCUGGGCUGACACUGACGCUGAGGCGCGAAAGCCAGGGGAGCGAACGGG
rnacentral:rRNA from 1 species